rnacentral:rRNA from 1 species
UGGGGAAUAUUGCGCAAUGGGGGGAACCCUGACGCAGCCAUGCCGCGUGAAUGAAGAAGGCCUUAGGGUUGUAAAGUUCUUUCGGUAUUGAGGAAGGUUGAUGUGUUAAUAGCACAUCAAAUUGACGUUAAAUACAGAAGAAGCACCGGUUAACUCCGUGCCAGCAGCCGCGGUAAUACGGAGGGUGCGAGCGUUAAUCGGAAUAACUGGGCGUAAAGGGCACGCAGGCGGUUAUUUAAGUGAGGUGUGAAAGCCCCGGGCUUAACCUGGGAAUUGCAUUUCAGACUGGGUAACUAGAGUACUUUAGGGAGGGGUAGAAUUCCACGUGUAGCGGUGAAAUGCGUAGAGAUGUGGAGGAAUACCGAAGGCGAAGGCAGCCCCUUGGGAAUGUACUGACGCUCAUGUGCGAAAGCGUGGGGAGCAAACAGGAUUAGAUACCCUGGUAGUCCACGCUGUAAACGCUGUCGAUUUGGGGGUUGGGGUUUAACUCUGGCGCCCGUAGCUAACGUGAUAAAUCGACCGCCUGGGGAGUACGGCCGCAAGGUUA